GACGAACGCUGGCGGCGUGCUUAACACAUGCAAGUCGAGCGGUAAGGCCCUUUCGGGGGUACACGAGCGGCGAACGGGUGAGUAACACGUGGGUGACCUGCCUUUAGCUCUGGGAUAAGCCUGGGAAACCGGGUCUAAUACCGGAUAUGACUCCGCGGCGCAUGUUGUGGGGUGGAAAGCCUUGUGCGGCUGGAGAUGGGCCCGCGGCCUAUCAGCUUGUUGGUGGGGUGAUGGCCUACCAAGGCGACGAUCAGUAGCUGGUCUGAGAGGAUGAUCAGCCACACUGGGACUGAGACACGGCCCAGACUCCUACGGGAGGCAGCAGUAGGGAAUCUUGCGCAAUGGGCAAAGCCUGACGCAGCCAUGCCGCGUGAAU
rnacentral:rRNA from 1 species